rnacentral:tRNA from 1 species
GCUUAUCGUAGCCUAGUCGACAUGACAUCUGCCCGGUAAGCAGAACACUGUGGGUUCGAUUCCCAUCCCUGGACA